AACGCGAAGAACCUUACCUGGCCUUGACAUGCACGUGGUAGGAGCCUGAAAGGGUAACGACCCCGCAAGGGGAGCGUGCACAGGUGCUGCAUGGCUGUCGUCAGCUCGUGUCGUGAGAUGUUGGGUUAAGUCCCGCAACGAGCGCAACCCUUGUGUCCUGUUGCCAAUCCAACGAGAGUUGGAAGCACUCUGGACAGACUGCCUCGCUUAAACGAGGAGGAAGGUGGGGAUGACGUCAAGUCAGGAUGGCCCUUACGGCCAGGGCUGCACACGUACUACAAUGCCCGGUACAGAGGGAAGCAAGACCGGAAGGUGGAGCAAAUCCCAAAAAACCGGGCUCAGUUCAGAUUGUCGGCUGCAACUCGCCGACAUGAAGCUGGAAUCGCUAGUAAUGACGCAUCAGCUACGGCGUCGUGAAUACGUUCCCGGGCCUUGUACACACCGCACGA
rnacentral:rRNA from 1 species